rnacentral:rRNA from 1 species
GGUGACCUGCGGAGGAUCAUU